rnacentral:rRNA from 1 species
GCCCUUAGAGUUUGAUCCUGGCUCAGGACGAACGCUGGCGGCAGGCUUAACACAUGCAAGUCGCACGAGAACAGGCCUUCGGGCCUUAGUAAAGUGGCGGACGGGUGAGUAACACGUAGACAACCUGCCCCAAAGCGAGGGAUAACUAUCGGAAACGGUAGCUAAUACCGCAUGCAGUCUUUACCGGGCAUCCGGUUUAGAUGAAAGCCUUCGGGCGCUUUGGGAUGGGUCUGCGGAGGAUUAGUUUGUUGGUAGGGUAAAGGCCUACCAAGACUACGAUCCAUAGCUGGUCUGAGAGGACAAUCAGCCACACUGGGACUGAGACACGGCCCAGACUCCUACGGGAGGCAGCAGUGGGGAAUCUUGGGCAAUGGGCGAAAGCCUGACCCAGCCAUGCCGCGUGGAGGAAGACACCCCUAUGGGGCGCAAACUCCUUUUGUGCAGGAAGAAGGCCCCGGUCACCGAGGUUUGACGGUACUGCACGAAUAAGCACCGGCUAACUCCGUGCCAGCAGCCGCGGUAAUACGGAGGGUGCAAGCGUUGUCCGGAAUCACUGGGUGUAAAGGGUGUGUAGGCGGGAUUGUAAGUCAGAGGUGAAAUCUUGCGGCUCA